UACGUAGGGUGCAAGCGUUAAUCGGAAUACUGGGCGUAAAGCGUGCGCAGGCGGUUAUGUAAGACAGAUGUGAAAUGCCCGGGCUUAACCUGGGAACUGCAUUUGUGACUGCAUGGCUAGAGUUUGGCAGAGGGGGGUAGAAUUCCACGUGUAGCAGUGAAAUGCGUAGAUAUGUGGAGGAACACCGAUGGCGAAGGCAGCCCCCUGGGUCAAGACUGACGCUCAUGCACGAAAGCGUGGGGA
rnacentral:rRNA from 1 species